UACGUAGGGUGCAAGCGUUAAUCGGAAUUACUGGGCGUAAAGCGUGCGCAGGCGGCUUUGCAAGACAGAUGUGAAAUCCCCGGGCUUAACCUGGGAACUGCAUUUGUGACUGCAUGGCUGGAGUGCGGCAGAGGGGGAUGGAAUUCCGCGUGUAGCAGUGAAAUGCGUAGAUAUGCGGAGGAACACCGAUGGCGAAGGCAAUCCCCUGGGCCUGCACUGACGCUCAUGCACGAAGCGUGGGAGCAACAGGAUAG
rnacentral:rRNA from 1 species